rnacentral:rRNA from 1 species
CCUACGGGGCGCAGCAGUGAGGAAUAUUGGUCAAUGGGCGCGAGCCUGAACCAGCCAAGUAGCGUGAAGGAUGACUGCCCUACGGGUUGUACACUUCUUUUAUAAAGGAAUAAAGUGAGGCACGUGUGCCUUUUUGUAUGUACUUUAUGAAUAAGGAUCGGCUAACUCCGUGCCAGCAGCCGCGGUAAUACGGAGGAUCCGAGCGUUAUCCGGAUUUAUUGGGUUUAAAGGGAGCGUAGAUGGGUUGUUAAGUCAGUUGUGAAAGUUUGCGGCUCAACCGUAAAAUUGCACUUGAUACUGGCAGUCUUGAGUACAGUUGAGGUAGGCGGAAUUCGUGGUGUAGCGGUGAAAUGCUUAGAUAUCACGAAAAACCCCGAUUGCGAAGGCAGCUUACUAAACUGUGACUGACAUUGAUGCUCGAAAGUGUGGGUAUCAAACAGGAUUAGAUACCCUAGUAGUC